CCGGCACGCAAUUAACAAUAACCUUUAGUUUCGCCCGUGAACAGUAGAAGACAACCAGUUAAAUAGGAGUAGAGCCCAGCACGACUUUACAAUCUGAUAGCUAUCACGCGCCGCCACCAAAAUUACAAGCAGCUUCGAGUUAGAGAUGCCUGGUUAAACGAUCGUCAGAUUGACAAAAUUUCGAAAGGAAACAAAUCACAAAAGGAAAAUCCAAAACGAGAGACAGCGGCCUGCUACUGGUACCCGGCGUCGUAACCUCACGGCCUGCUGCUGGUACCUGCUGCCGUCUUCUUCUUCUGCGGCCUCACGGCCUGCUGCUGGUACCCGUAGCUGGCGGCCUGCGGUGGCGGGUAGCCGUACCCGUACCCGGCCUGCUGCGGCGGCGGGGGCAGUAGCCGUACCCCGGCGGCGGGUAACCGUAGCCGCCGUACUGCGGCGGAGGAGCAGCGUAGGGCGCCACCGUGCUGGGACCGGCCGAACCCCUUGGCUGGCUUGCCUGCCGCGGGUGGGUAGCCAGAUGAGGGC
rnacentral:lncRNA from 1 species